rnacentral:lncRNA from 1 species
CAUCUCCUCACCAGUCUUGAGGAAUUCAAUUGCCUCCCAGGCUGAAUGCAGGUAAGUUUUCAAAUGGGAGGGUUGGUUGUGGUCUCUGGUGUUUUCAACAACCAGGAGAGCAAAUGGUCAGUGGAGCAGUGUUUUUGCUCCUUCCAGCUUGUUCCUCUUGGAAUGAUUUUCCUGGGGAGGGAGUCAGCAGCCUAGCAAACAGCAUAGUUCCUUCUUGAGAGGGUGUGCUCUUCCCUCACCCACACAUCACUGUCAGAUGAUUUGAAUUGAUAAUGCUGAUCCUCUGUGAGGUACCACAGUUAAUAGCAUGUUAGAGUUCUGAUGGCAGUUUCUGUUGAUGAAGAAAUUGUGUUUCAUCUUAGUGUUUUGGAGUAACCAUUUUCUCCUCUUUUGUAGAUUGUCACAGCAUUAAUAGAGUCAUCUAUCUUACAGUGCCUCUUGAUCUGCUCAGGAUGACUUCUACAGAGUCAAGAGGUGAGUACUUGUAACCUUGCUUAUUGUUGCUUAACUCCAGUGCCAAUGAGGAAAGCAGACAUCCUGUCUUACCCCUGUUCUAGCCCCAGAGCCAGUAAUGGUGAACCCACUGGGGCUAACUGGGAGAAAGGAUGAAAUUUCAUUCCAUAAGGAAUUGUCUGAGGUACAGCAAAUGAACAGCAUUUGCUUGGCUUGGGUUAUCCAUUAACCCUAGUUAGAAUAGUUUUGGUUGUUUUAGAUAUUUUGCUAAUUACACGAUCUUCUCAUUCAGGAGCAGCUUGUUGCUAUACACUCCUGGAAAGCCUCCAGAGUUAAAAGGUACCAUUGCCAGUUACCGUUGCUCAGAGGUGAGUGAUCACCAUGUGUUUGCGCAUACAAUGCAUUGAGUGGGAGAAAGUGCCUUUUUAGGUAUCUGUGAUGACUUACAUGGAAUCUCGUUCGGCUGAUGAUUUGCUGUUGAGACUCGGAAAUCUGAUUUUCUGGGAAUGGUGGCUUAGACAGGAACAGCUUAUAAUGCAAGAAGCAAGCAUUACUGACGUAGUUGUCUUUGUGUUUCAGGUACAGCUCUUUGUCUGGUACCUAAGAAUGAUUUUAGGGGAAAGGAGUAAGCCAUAUAUCUGCUCCACUGUAGUCUGAAGUUGAGAGGUGAGUAAACUUAAACACACAAGGUGUGUCAAGUUAAAAUUUCCCAGUGAAGAAAUACUCACAAGUCUUACUUCCUGUCCUAGUCCCAGAGCCUGUAAAGGUGAACCCACUGGGGCUGGCUGGGGGAGAAGAGGAAAGCUUGUUCCAGAGGGAACUGUCUGAGGGAUCAUGAGAGUUCCUAAACAAGGCAAAAGGGGAAUAAAUGACUGAUUGAAAGGCA